rnacentral:rRNA from 1 species
UACGAAGGGGGCUAGCGUUGCUCGGAAUCACUGGGCGUAAAGGGCGCGUAGGCGGGUUUUUAAGUCAGGGGUGAAAUCCUGGAGCUCAACUCCAGAACUGCCUUUGAUACUGAAGAUCUUGAGUCCGGGAGAGGUGAGUGGAACUGCGAGUGUAGAGGUGAAAUUCGUAGAUAUUCGCAAGAACACCAGUGGCGAAGGCGGCUCACUGGCCCGGUACUGACGCUGAGGCACGAAAGCGUGGGGAGCAAACAGG